rnacentral:antisense_RNA from 1 species
CUUGGCGUCUUUCUUAUGCGCAAGAAUGCCAUUACCUACCGCAUGCAGCAGGUGGGUUUUACCCAAGCCCGUGCCGCCAUA